CUAGAUCCUUCCAUUAUUUAGAUUAUUUCCUGCCAUCAAAAGUUAAACAUUUCGUUCAAUGUCGAUGCAUUGUAGCGAAACUUAUGGUUUUCAAAUUGAGUUCCAUACAUAUUUAAGUAGGUAGGUCUACUUAAAUAAUUCAGAAUCGAAGUGACCAACUUUAGGUUUGACAUGAAACAAUGUUCUCGGAAUUAUUCAAAAUCCAAAUAUCAGCUUUAUAUACAGGAAGUCCAGACCCAUUUCCAAUAACACUGUCUUAAUAUAAACGAUUAUGGAUUAUUAUCAAAAUACACAAAUCCAUACCCCACAUACAUUUUUACUUUUGGAUUUCUAAUAAUUCGUUAUUUUAGAAGAGUUCAAUUCAAAAAUAAGAUAUCAACUCAUCAUAUAAUGCAAUUUGAUAAAAACAAUUAUUUCUCCAAUCAAAAGUUCAAACGGGAGUAUUGAAGGUAUCAAUACCUGUGUGCUUUUAUUUUUGGUUCAGUAAAUUCCUCACCUUAUCAAUAUUGCAGAGUAUAUAUUUUCCUAUAGCAACGCCAAAGCAAUCUGUGAUUAUUACAUGAUUUAAUAUAAAAAACAACAAAUAGCCUAAUUACAACUUAACACUAAAAACAAAAAUUGUACAUGUACUUAUACAUUUUAAGCCUAAUUAAGAAACCGUUGAUUAAGUGCAUAAGUGCAAUACUCUUUGAGAGGCAUAAAUAAAGCAUUUUUUUUAUCGAGAAAAAAAGUAUUUGAGAAAUGAAUGGGUCUAGAAAAUGCAUCCGUAUUCUAUACAAUAAAAUCGUCACACAAAUAAAUACAACUUAUCUUUGAUUUCACAAAGCCUGCAGAAACGCAACGACAUUAUGAUGUCCACUUUCUAUUGCCAAAUCGAUUGGCCGGCAGUUCCUAUUGUCCCGGCUAUUCGGAUCGGCGAGGAAUUGGACAAGGAUCUCUACCGUGUCCAAAAAGCCCAUCCUGGCGGCAUCGUGUAACGGCGUUGUCCCAGUGUGUCGGUCUGCGAUAUUGGGAUCCGCUCCUUGCAUUAGUAACAACUGCGCCACUGGUGAACUGCCCAUCAUCAUCACCUAGGAAAUACAAAUCCAGUUGAUUUUACUUACAGACCUUCUGCUAGAAUAUUUAAUAAAUAUACCUAUAUUUGCGAGGCAAAUAAUGUUGCCAUGGUGUGUAAUACGUUAUUUAGAGGGGCAUUUGAAUAACACAAAAUAAUACAGUACGCCUAUAGUUCUAUCAGACCAUAAAAGCGCAUGCUUUCGUUUCAGAUUGCUUAAAGUGUUUUAAUUAUCCAACAAUAUCGGUGCUGUUAUUCACUUAACAAUUUAAUAACAAUAUAAUAAUGGAUCUAAAUUACAAAAAAAGCAAUUAGGCCCAACUGAUGCUAUAACAUUGUUAAAGGGUAUAAGUCGGCCUACAAUUUAUCUUAUGAUUUCGAUUUUACUUAUUUUAAUUGCAGCCACACCUUUCGUAUUGUAGCAAACCUAAAGAGCAUCAAAAUGUAGGGCCAUCAAAGUUUUAAGGCCAAAUAUAGAUAGGAAGAGUCAGCCAUGGCAUUUUGAUAUCAGCCCAAGGAAAUUGGUUUUUAGAGUAAGUCAUUAAAUCUGAACAUAUUAAUAAUUUAAAAUAAGAUUUAUCCAUAUACAUGAUCUCUUUGGCCAUUUUUGGGAGAGCAAUUUUGAGUUUGGAAGGUUGGGUGUGGUGACCUGCAUGCAUCCUCCAUUGCCCGGAUAGAGCUUACAUUGGUAUUGCCAUGGACCAUUUUGAUAGAGUAUAAUAUCGAAUUAUUUAUAUGUUUAUUUGAAAGACAAACUCAUGGAAAUAUUUCCAACAAUAGAAGUAACAAUUUGGACUUGAUAAAAGUUAAUGGCAGGCCUAUAGAAACCACGGGCAAUUGCACACCAUUCCCAUCACUCGGUUCCUGAGGCGCAACAGACUAAACUAUGACGUAAAAUAAAGCACAUUAAAAUAUAUAGAAUAUAUAACAAAGGUAAUAUAGCUCCAAUGCAAAUUAUUUCACAGUAUGACAUGCUAUUCUAGUAAUUUGUUAAGACAGUGUAUGUUUUCAACCUAAAACGUCAUGGGCCGUCUCUGCAACGUUAAAAUAUUGAUGACACCGUUGAACAUUUACUCUCUUUUACAAUAAUCACGACACGAUCUUCACCGAUGAGCACGACGACGAGAGCGUAGCGCGAGACACUUACCUGCAGAGGUGUCCGUCCAAAGCAGUUUACACCGUUGACGUCCACUCCUCUUCGUAAUAGAAUUUUAACACGGUCGGUGUUGCCAGUCGCCGCUGCUGAAGCUAGAUCAUCCUCGAGAGGCAUCGUCAUGAGCAGAGAUAACACCGCUCGGCUCGUGUCAAUAACAGUCCAGCACUUCGCGGAUUCCUUUGACAGAGUGAGAAACUUGACCUUGGCAAUGAACCCUAAAAUAGGACCAGGAGACAGCCAGUGUGUUGGAAAAAGACCAAACGUGAGGCAUCAUCGGCUGGAUCAAAGAAGGGCUGUCCCAGGUUGGACACAGCUGUUCCAGGGCUGGCUCGCAGUGGAGCGCUGAGAGUACACGGCCUGCUCCCCAGUCACAUGCUCAGGGACGGAGCAAACACCAACCACCACUCACUUAUGACUUAUGAGCCACACACAGGGAGAGAGAGAGAAGAGAGAGUGUCACGACUUCCACCGAAGUCGGCUCCUCUCCUUGUUCGGGCGGCGUUCUGCGAUCGACGUCACAGGCUUUCUAGUCAUCGCCGCUCCAUUUUUCAUAUAUCCAUUUGUCUUGUCUUGUCUCCAUACACACCUGGUUUUCAUUUCCCCAAUCAAUUUACUUGUAUUUAACCCUCUGUUUCCCAUCAUGUUUUGUGUGUAAAUGUUUCAUGUAGCCGUGGUGUCUUUUUACGUGCUUUACUUUUGUUAUGUUCCGUGUUUUUGAG
rnacentral:lncRNA from 1 species